GACGAACGCUGGCGGCGUGCUUAACACAUGCAAGUCGAACGAUGAAGCCGGAGCUUGCUCUGGUGAAUUAGUGGCGAACGGGUGAGUAACACGUGAGUAACCUGCCCUUGACCCUGGGAUAACUGCGGGAAACUGUAGCUAAUACCGGAUACGACCCUCGGAGGCAUCUCCUGGGGGUGGCAAGACUUUCGGUCAAGGAUGGACUCGCGGCCUAUCAGCUAGUUGGUGAGGUAAAGGCUCACCAAGGCGACGACGGGUAGCCGGCCUGAGAGGGUGAACGGCCACACUGGGACUGAGAGACGGCCCAGACUCCUACGGGGGGCAGCAGGGGAGAAUCUUGCACAAUGGGGGCAAGCCUGUGGCAGCAACGCCGGGGGAGGGAUGUCGGCCUUCGGGUUGGAAACCUCUUUUAGCAGGGAAGAUGCGAAAGUGACGGUACCUGCAGAAUAAGCACCGGCUAACUACGUGCCAGCCGCCGCCGUAA
rnacentral:rRNA from 1 species